GUGAGUAGUUCAGAGUUUGAUCCUGGCUCAGGAUGAACGCUGGCGGCGUGCCUAAUACAUGCAAGUCGAACGAAUCACUUCGGUGGUUAGUGGCGAACGGGUGAGUAACACGUAGGUAAUCUGCCCUUCAGACGAGGAUAACGGUUGGAAACGACCGCUAAUACUGGAUAGUACAUCUUAUCGCAUGACGAGAUGUUUAAAGUUCCGUUUGGAACACUGAAGGAGGAGCCUGCGGCGCAUUAGUUAGUUGGCGGGGUAACAGCCCACCAAGACGAUGAUGCGUAGCCGGACUGAGAGGUUGAACGGCCACAUUGGGACUGAGACACGGCCCAG
rnacentral:rRNA from 1 species